rnacentral:rRNA from 1 species
UGGGGAAUAUUGGACAAUGGGCGAAAGCCUGAUCCAGCCAUGCCGCGUGUGUGAAGAAGGUCUUCGGAUUGUAAAGCACUUUAAGCGAGGAGGAGGGUACUGGUAUUAAUACUACCAGCUACUGGACGUUGCUCGCAGAAUAAGCACCGGCUAACUCUGUGCCAGCAGCCGCGGUAAUACAGAGGGUGCGAGCGUUAAUCGGAUUUACUGGGCGUAAAGCGCGCGUAGGUGGUUCGUUAAGUUGAAUGUGAAAGCCCCGGGCUCAACCUGGGAACUGCAUCCAAAACUGGCGAGCUAGAGUAGGGCAGAGGGUGGUGGAAUUUCCUGUGUAGCGGUGAAAUGCGUAGAUAUAGGAAGGAACACCAGUGGCGAAGGCGACCACCUGGGCUCAUACUGACACUGAGGUGCGAAAGCGUGGGGAGCAAACAGG